rnacentral:rRNA from 1 species
UACGUAGGGUGCAAGCGUUAAUCGGAAUUACUGGGCGUAAAGCGUGCGCAGGCGGUUUUGUAAGUCUGUCGUGAAAUCCCCCGGGCUCAACCUGGGAAUUGCGAUGGAGACUGCAAGGCUAGAAUCUGGCAGAGGGGGGUAGAAUUCCACGUGUAGCAGUGAAAUGCGUAGAGAUGUGGAGGAACACCGGAUGGCGAAGGCAGCCCCCUGGGCUAACACUGACGCUCAGGCACGAAAGCGUGGGGAGCAAACAGG